AGCGCUAUAAUUCAAUGGCAGAAUGUUAGAUUCAUAUUCUAAAUGUGAAAGUUCGAUUCUUUCUAGCGCUA
rnacentral:tRNA from 1 species